rnacentral:lncRNA from 1 species
CGGAAUCGGGCCACGUCGACAGACGCCGAACGGACAGCACCUCCCCUGUCCGUCCAAGACUCUAACAACAUGUACAAUCAAGAAUUUCAACACAAAGUGAACAUAAUUGCACAAGGCUUACACGAGGGCAAGCAACAACACAAGUAGCGAAAGCUCUAACUGCUAUACUAUACAUACAACCAUCCAUCUCAUAUUUGAUUACAUUUUAACCAAAUACAAAUACUAUUACAACCAUUCUUUUCCAUACAUUGUUUACAACCCAAAAUAAUGAUUACAACUUUUCUCACUUAUAUUCAACAUACAAAAGUUGAACUCUAUACACAUAGGAAAAUGCCUAUACUCUGGUGGUCGCUAGCUACGGUGCUAAACCCUUGCCACGAUCCUCCGCCGCCCCGCUCGCGCUCGGAUCUGUAGGGUUAGUGGUAAUGAGAACUAAAACAAAGUUUCCAGUGGGUUCA